rnacentral:lncRNA from 1 species
UGACACUUCUAGAAAUCUGUCUGUACUUCUGGCUGAGAAUCCAAUGUGUGGGUGACCACUUCUAGAGAAAUCUGUCUGUCUUACUUCUGGUGAGAAUCCAAUGUGUGGGUGACCACUUGUAGAAAAUCUGCCGGUAUUUCUGGAGAGAUCACGUUCUUUCUAUAAAAACAAUAAUUAAUAUGGAUCAAGUAUAUUCAUUAUUAUUUUUAGACGUGUGGGGACUCCUUGUAGUCCUUUAAUAUCCUUGAAUUGGUACCCUUUAAGUGUGGCCACUAUUUUUAAACAUCAUUUAAACACCUUUUGGUGAGUGGGUUUUAGUUUCAAGCCACAAAUCGUCAACAUGUUAAAUUUGAUUAAAAAUAUAUUAUUAAAGCCCAAAUAAUUUGCAGAACAUUCCAUUUUGUAUUGGUUCUUAAACUAGAAAGUCCUUUUUGCUUUGGAGUCAUUUUUCUAUCAACACCUGAAAUCAAAUCUUGUGUCCUUCAAUGUUUCUGUAAAUUACCCGUUAUCAACAGUAUCUAAUAAAAUAGUUGUUUUUAUUUAUUUUUAGGAAUAUUGGUUUGAUAUUAGAGAACUGUAUUUUUACGAUGGGUUUUCUUUCAAAAGCAGCGUCUGUUUUUCAAUCUUUGGAGUGACACAGAACCGGGUCCGUCCCAGAGGAGCUGGAGUUGUUGCCUUCCCUGGUCUACAGUGUUGUCAGAAUGUUAUUUUAGCAACGCCCAUAUAUGUAUGUCCGUACGUGUUGUCAGAAUGUUUAUUUUAGGAACGCCCAUAUAUGUAUGUCCCUACAGUGUUGUCAGAAUGUUUAUUUUAGGAACGCCCAUAUAUGUAUGUCCCUACAGUGUUGUCAGAAUGUUUAUUUUAGGAACGCCCAUAUAUGUAUGUCCAUACCGUUUGUAAACACAAAUGUAUUUUUUAAAAGAUGGCUGUUCUGGACAAGACCACAAAAAACAAGACAUUGGUGCAUUCUUACUGGGGUGUAGCCUACCAUGUCCUGCAAUGGAAUUUUAUGAAUGCUCAUGUGGUAGGCCCACGUUUGUAAAACAGGCUGUUGCAUUGGAUUUAUUAGUCCCGUUCCUGUUGACUAAUCAAUUUGGAUACAAAACUUGAAACCGCUGACUGUGACAUUUUAUACUACUGGACAGCUGUUGUGAUUAGCCUGGUCGGCUGACCGUGACAUUUUAUACUACUGGACAGCUGUUGUGAGUAGCCUGGUCGGCUUGACCGUGACAUUUUAUACUACUGGACAGCUGUUGUGAGUAGCUGGUGGCCUGACCGUGACAUUUUUUAUACUACCGGACAGCUGUUGUGGUAGCCUGGUCGGCUGACCGUGACAUUUUAUACUACUGGACAGGCUGUUGUGAGUAGCCUGGUCGGCUGACCGUGACUUUUAAACUACUGGACAGCCGUUGUGAGUGGCCUGGUCGGCCAUUUUACUUUUUUGACCUGUCCGUUUUUAGAAUAUGUUGUUUGUUAUUGUCAGCAGUUUUUUAUUUUUUUUUAUUUGAUUGAGUGUGAUUUAGGUCAGGCUAUUUGAUCAGAGAAACCUGCAUGAUGUAAAAAAAGUUUUCUGGCUCAUUACAUUGUCAUACAUUUUUAUCUCUGCUAUAGAAGAGGCCACAUCCUCUUUCUACCAGAUGCUAUAUCUGACGGAAUGUAGCACUGCAUCUCUCCAACGGCACCCUGGAGAGGCAUGCUGGGAAUGGACUAGAUAAAUAUUUGGAGUCCCUGCCUUUGACUAAGUGGGCACUUCUUAUCACAGGGCGGCGUCAGCGCUCACCUAAAAAGCCCAUAUGCCACUGGUUGAGAGAAGUUGUUGGAGGUGUGUCUUGUUCAGUUUAGCUCAGAAAAUGCCACUCUCAUCAAUCUGCUGCCAUACACCUCAUCCUGCCUAAUGAGAGGUCCUGGUCUCACCUCAUCCUGCCCAAUGAGAGGACCUGGUCUCACCUCAUCCUGCCUAAUGAGAGGCUCUGGUCCCACCUCAUCCUGCCUAAUGAGAGGCCCUGGUCUCACCUCAUCCUGCCUAAUGAGAGGACAGGUUCUGGGUCUCACCUCAUCCUGCCUAAUGAGAGGACCAGCCCCGGUCUCACAUCAUCCCUCCUAAUGAGAGGACAGGUUCUGGGUCUCACCUCAUCCUGCCUAAUGAGAGGACCAGCCCCGGUCUCACCUCAUCCCUCCUAAUGAGAGGAACGUGCACAGAACACUGUUCUGUUGAGUUUUAUAAAAAACUACAUUGUGACAUUGUGAACUAUUGACAUGACUUACUUAGUCCUUUAGGUUCUUAUGUGGAACAUAGGGCUUCCAGGAGACAGAGCCACUGCUGCUCUUCUGACUUUUGGGGAGGGGUUUUCAUGACAGGACAUUCAUUGGAAUCAAAAAUCCUUGUGAACAAAAAAUGRUCAUUUAUAWGUUGACAUGAUUGAUAUCUCUUGAUGAAAUAUCUCUAAAGAUCUCAGUCGUUGUCUACGGCCGUUUUUUGAGAAGUUAUAUUUCUAUAUUAUUAUCAAUGAGUAAAUCAGUGAAAUACUUGUAAUAAGCUAAUCACAUUUCCAAGGCAGGAAGGCAAUGAAUGCAGAGCAGUAAUCUACAGCAGUGGUCACCAACCUUUUUUCUGAGUCAAGAUCACUUUCUUGAGUAAAAACGCAAGCCGAUGAUCUACCGCUGAGAUUUAUUUUAGAAACAUUACUUUAAAAAACAUAAGUCUAUGCAACAUUAACCAAUUAUAAACAGUUCUGUAGCAAUGAGGUUUGUGCAGUAGGCUAUAGGCCCAGUACAUUAUCACUGCAUAUUGGCUAAGCUUCAAUUGCCCUGCUAAUGUUGUUCUCAGACCAUUAAGAAAUUACAUUUCAACAUGUUAGCUACAGUAUAUGAUCACACUGGUAAUAGAUUAAUUGUUGUAUUGCUUGUGAGGCACAGCUGAGUGAGGAUAAUAAUUAGCUUCUUUUUGUUUUCUGGACUGAUGACCUGGAUCUGAUGGUCAGUCUGAGGGGAGGGAGAGAGCAGUGGUGAGGCUGUCUAUCACCUGACUCACCGUCCCUCCUCUCUCCCACCCUCCACUGAAAAUAUGCCCCAACAGGGUCCAGCUGUGACAUCAUCUCUCAGAGCAGUGCAUCUCUCAGGGUUUCUAUGGUGCCACCUACUGUGACAUCAUCUCUCAGGGUUUCUAUGGAGCCACCUACUGUGACAUCAUCUCUCAGGGUUGCAAUGCGGCCACCUACGGACAUCAUUCUUAAUAAUUACA